UACGUAGGCAGCGAGCGUUGUUCGGAAUUACUGGGCGUAAAGAGUGUGUAGGCGGUGCUCUAAGUUCGGUGUGAAAUCUCCUGGCUCAACUGGGAGGGUGCGCCGGAAACUGGAGUGCUUGAGCGUGGGAGAGGAAAGCGGAAUUCCUGGUGUAGCGGUGAAAUGCGUAGAUAUCAGGAGGAACACCGAUGGCGAAGGCAGGUCUCUGGGCCACUACUGA
rnacentral:rRNA from 1 species